GACGAACGCUGGCGGCGUGCUUAACACAUGCAAGUCGAACGGAAAGGCCCUGCUUUUGUGGGGUGCUCGAGUGGCGAACGGGUGAGUAACACGUGAGUAACCUGCCCUUGACUUUGGGAUAACUUCAGGAAACUGGGGCUAAUACCGGAUAGGAGCUCCUGCUGCAUGGUGGGGGUUGGAAAGUUUCGGCGGUUGGGGAUGGACUCGCGGCUUAUCAGCUUGUUGGUGGGGUAGUGGCUUACCAAGGCUUUGACGGGUAGCCGGCCUGAGAGGGUGACCGGCCACAUUGGGACUGAGAUACGGACCAGACUCCUACGGGAGGCAGCAGUGGGGAAUAUUGCGCAAUGGGCGGAAGCCUGAUGCAGCAACGCCGCGUGCGUGAUGACGGCCUUCGGGUUGUAAACCGCUUUCGCCUGUGACGAAGCGUGAGUGACGGUAAUGGGUAAAGAAGCACCGGCUAACUACGUG
rnacentral:rRNA from 1 species